UCUCAAAUUUCUAUCACGAUUUGCGUAUGCAGAUGUGAUCACUCUUUCUCUGUUCAAGGACUAAUGAGUUAUGAGGACACUAAAAAGAAAAUUGUGUGGAAACUAAAGAACCAAUUAUUUUGUGGAAGCCAGCUGGGAAAAUUGUAUGCAGGGCCAUCCUAAUAUUGAGAAUCUCUAUGUCAACAAGUUGCAAUUGACUUCUCUUCUAAGUACAUGUACAUCACAUUAGUCUUCUUCUUUUAUCUAGUACUAGUACUUUUAUUCUGUUUCUGAGCAUUCAUGGCGGCUUAUGCAGCUGUGGUUUCUCUUAUGCAUCUCAUAGAUGAUAUCGAACAUCAUCCUUCCCCUCCAAUUUCUAUUGACAAACAACAACUUGAAUCUCUCUCUCAAACCGUGACCUUCUUGCAAGAAUUUCUUGAACGCUACAAUUCUCCUUUUGCCCACAGCAACGAAGCCAAUCCCUUGGAGAUGCAUAUUGCAGAAGCAGCUUAUGCAGCUGAAGAUGUUAUUGAGUCCCAUAUUGUAGAUAUGAUUAAGCACACUGCAGUUCAUCAUCAACAAAUCUACUCUGGAGGAGAAUCCAACAAUCAAAGGAAACCGGUUAUGUGCUCUAAUUACUUCGGAUGGCUAAUGAAACCCAUGACUCAUGGCAGAAAGAUCAAUUACAUUGAUAAUCUGUAUCAAGCUCUGAAGAAAGUGAUAAAGGACAUGGACUUGGUCAAGAAGGAGGCGAUGAAGAUCUCUUUAGUAGAAGCUCAUCUGCAGCGGUUGGAGACUGCGCCCGUUGAUCAGCUGCCGAGAGAGGUCUCCUCGACUCAUGUUGUUUCGUUGACGUAUUCUUUGAAGGAAAACUUUAUGGUGGGCUUUGACCAAGUGUUUCUUGAAGUUUUGGAUAAGCUCACUGGAGGCCAACUGAACUGCCAAAUCAUCCCCAUCACGGGGAUGGGCGGAAUUGGUUGCGUGGACUGAUUCUACCAGAUUCCCCUAGUGGUGGCGACAACGACAUUGUUGUUAUGAAGAAUCUGCAAACACUCAAAGGAGCAAAGAAUUUGAUUUUGAAUGAGGGGAUCGUCAAAAGAAUUCCUGAUGUGAAGAAUUUGCAUCUAAGGUAUCAAAUGGAACAAAUGGAGGGAAGCAACGGUCUCAUCUAUCUUCAGUGCUUGAAUAAAUUGGAAAAUUUUUGGUGCUCCACCAAAUAUGGAAGUGAUGAGUGUUGGCAAAUGGCAAGGUUCCCACACUCCCUCAAGAAGUUGUCUGUUAUUGCCUCUUCUGCUCUGGGGUUGGAAGACAUAUUGCAAAAAGUCGGUUCAUUACCCUUUCUUGAGAAAUUUGUGUUGAAAGGAGGUUUCUUCAAAACAUGCAAGUGGGAAACAAUUGGAGGCCAAUUCCGGAGCCUCAAGUUUCUACAAUUGCGCAAUUGUGACGGUCUAGAAGAUUGGAUUGUGUCAGACAACUCUCACUUCCCACUUCUCCAGAAGCUUCGUCUUGAUUAUUUAAGGACACUCAAGGAGAUCCCGUCAGAAAUUGGAGAAAUACCAACACUAAGAUCAAUUGAAUUGGAUCGUUGCAGUGAAUCAACGGUGGUGUCAGCUAAAAAGAUAGUAGAGGAACAAGAGGAUUUAUAUGGAGACCAACUAGACCUUCAUGUUCGAGCUCUAGUUUGGAAGGAAGAAGAAGCACUGAAGAGCUUGGCAAAUGCCAACUUUGAAGUUAAAGUGGGAAUUAACAGAGACUUGUCUUUCAUGUAGCAUGGAAGAGUAGUGUACUAAUAAAGUUUGAGCUUGCUUCAAUAGCAUAAACUCUUUCUAUUGAUACUUAUAUUCUAUUGUAAGAGCAAGCAAAAGCAUUUCAGCAUUUGCGUUUCUAUGUAAUUUACCUCAUCUUUUCCAUUCGAUAAACAUUGUACUGCAAAAGAGAUAGUAGAGGGAAUAUAGAAUUUACAUUGAGAAGACGUAUCCUUUCGUGUUGUAGGAUCACUACUGAGCUAGGCAGGUCACAAUUUAAAGUUGUAGGAUGAUUCUGUUUUAUUUCAUCUCCAACUAUGUAAUUAUAUUACAUAAUUAUGCUGUGCAUAUGAGUUCUUCAUCAUUCAUCAACACUUGAUUCUGGGGAUUAAAAGCGGCGCUGGAGGAUGGAAUCUCAGUUUCUCUUUGAUGAUCAGUUUGAGAUAGAGCUCUAUCAGUGGUGGAGUCUGCCUGGAUGAUAGCAGAGGAGCAAGAUGAAAUACAAGCGAGCAACAACCAAGCACUACAGAGCCUUGCAAGCCCCAAAUUUCUCGUCGAGAUUGACUUAUUUUUAGGCUAUUACAAUAAAUCUAUGGUACAUUUGUUUCACUUUUCAAUUUCUAGGUAAAUAUAUAUAGACAGAAAAUAUCGCAAAUAUGCUCGUCAUAACUUAUUACUCAUGUAGUAUUGAUCUGCAGAUGUCAUCUCUCAAAUCUCUCUCAAGAUUUGCAUAUGCAGAUGUAAUCACUCUGUGCUUCCAGGUACUCUCUCUCUCUGUUCAUGGACUGAUGAGGCCACCUACGUCGGAAGUGGUUCUUGGAUAUGUGCGGAUUGACACCAACUUCUGUUUUCUUUGGGUUCUGUUUCCGCGUUUCCGUCUUUGCAAAUACUGUUUGUACAUGUUUGCUUGUUCCAUUGUGAUAAAAGGAUCGAAGAAUAGGUUUUUUUGUAUUCACUUCUGGUGUA